UGCCAGACUCCUACGGGAGGCAGCAGUGGGGAAUAUUGCACAAUGGGGGGAACCCUGAUGCAGCGACGCCGCGUGGGUGAAGGAGCACCUCGGUGCGUAAAGCCCUAUCGGCAGGGAAGAAACAGACGGUACCUGACUAAGAAGCCCCGGCUAACUACGUGCCAGCAGCCGCGGUAAUACGUAGGGGGCAAGCGUUAUCCGGAUUUACUGGGUGUAAAGGGAGCGUAGACGGCAGCGCAAGUCUGGAGUGAAAUGCCGGGGCCCAACCCCGGAACUGCUUUGGAAACUGUGCAGCUCGAGUGCAGGAGAGGUAAGCGGAAUUCCUAGUGUAGCGGUGAAAUGCGUAGAUAUUAGGAGGAACACCAGUGGCGAAGGCGGCUUACUGGACUGUAACUGACGUUGAGGCUCGAAAGCGUGGGGAGCAAACAGGAUUAGAUACCCUAGUA
rnacentral:rRNA from 1 species